rnacentral:lncRNA from 1 species
UGUGAAGAACAUGUGAACUUGUCCGGAAGUCCAUGGCCCUGUAUAUUUGAUAAAUUUAUAUUUUAGUAUCCAAUAGAUGGAAGUAUAUCAGAAUACAGUAGUUUUAUUUCUCUAAUAGAUGGAAGUAUACACUUUUGCGGAUAUGAUGUUCUAUCAUAACACCCUGUUGUGGUUGGUCAGAGUUUAUGGUUCAACAUCAACCUAAAUGAACAGUUACAGAGGCCGUUUUCUUUUUCCUUUCUCUUUAGUACUCCCUCCGUCCCACUUCACUUGGCGUAGUUCUUUUCGGCAUGGUUAUUUAGGAGAGCAAGAUUGUAGUGUAAAGGUGUGUGGGCCCAAGUCAAGUGUAGUGUAAAAUGAUACCAUUUAGGAAGUAGGCCAAGUCAAGUGGGACAACCUGAAAAGGAAUCCAAGUCAAGUGGGACGGAGGGAGUAUCUCUUUUGGAAAUAAGAGGAUUUUUCUUAAAGCAAGGAACAAGACAACUUCAUCGUUUGCGGAAGUUACUAUCUGAUGGCAGAUUGAGAGAGCAAGUGAGGCCACCUUUUGAUGAUCUCGAAGAGCUAGUUAGCUUUAGAAGUUCGUAAAAAAGUCUUUUAUGAAGGAAACUCUAUUCUCUAGUUUUUCUUGGUAAAGCUGAUGGCCUUUAGCAAUAUGAAAUGGGAAGCUGCAGGAUAGUAUCUGAUUCUAUGGUGAUGGAGGAAAACUACUCCAAAUUUUUAAGAGUAACUUUUAUUUUGUCAAUGGGUGUAAAAUAAUACUCCCUCCGUCCCGCGGAUCUUGAGUCAAUUCUUUUCGGCACAGGAAUUAAGAAAAUAGUAUUUAGUGUGUUAAGUGUGGUAGGUGAAAAAGUGAAAAGGUGAAUAAAGGAGAAUUUUUUUGCCAUAUAAGGAAAUGACUCAAGAUUCGUGGGACGGCCGAAAAAGGAAAGUGACUCAAGAUUCGUGGGACGGAGGGAGUAGUUCUUUAGACAUUAAGGACCUCGUGGUUUGAGUGACUUUUUCUUCAAAUGGUCUAGAGGUUUUGCUUGCUGGUGGCGAGUGAAGAUAAAUUGUUAAAUGGCUCUAUCUUCCACAUCAGGGCAUUAUACUAGGGAAUUCAUUUCUGGAUAUUAAAUGCAGGUUUGCUUCACGAAGCAAAGGGUGACGAGAAAGAAGCGCUGAAGGCAUACUCACUUGCCCUGGAAGUUGACCCAAUGCAUGUCCCAAGUCUUGUCUCCAAGGCUAAGGUACUGAGAGGUGGUAGUUGCAGGUCUCCAGCUAUCAUAAGAAGCUUUCUGACAGAAGCUCUACGACUCAAUCGUACGAAUGCAUCGGCUUGGCAUCAGCUGGGCCUGCUUUACAAGGAUGAAGGAGGUAGUUUAUCAGCUGUGGAAGCUGCUGAAUGUUUCGAAGCUGCUGCCGUCCUGCAGGAAACUGAACCCGUCGAGCCAUUCAGAUGACGUUGUUCUGUAUUUGUGAGUAUCCUCUAUACACUGUUGAGUAAAAUAAUUGUAUCUGUUCCAUUUUCGAGGAGAAAAAGGUAAUACAAAUACAAGUUUUUGGGUCUUGAUAGUUUUCCAUUUUCUUCAAUGGGAUUGUAAUGUGAGCAGUGAGAAAUCCACUUCUGUUUGAGCAUGGCAGUUGGGAUUUUAUUUGUUUGCCUUCGUUUUUCAUGAAAAUGUUCUUGAUUUUUCGUUAUUCCUUGCGUAUAGUGUUACUAAUUUUUAUUUUAUGGUAUUCCAUCCUGUGCAAUUACAUGCAGGGAAGGAUUUUGGUUGCUUCGGUUCUAUCAAUAAAUAGACUACUUCAGUUUUUUAUUGGGUUAAUACAUUCAAAUAUACAAACUUUUGGGUUGACUUUCAUUUUGUAAGUAGAUUUUUAAUUUUCUUGGAAGAUUUAUGAACUUUACAAGUUCUCUAAUUUUUCUACGAUUUUAAAGAAGGACGAUUUGUUGUCUGGUGAUUCGAAUACUUUAUAUUCAAUUAGAAUUUGAUGUAUUGCGAGAAGAUUAGGAAAAAAAAAUUGUCUUCAAGGAUAAAUAAAUGAUUUUAGUUUGUGAAAAAAUAUUUUGAGAUUUUAUUAAAAUUAAAGACAAAAGGAAAUUCCUUUAAAAUAAAAUCGUUCCCACGCAAACGUGAAAAUUAACUGCCAUGUGGAUGGCACUGUCAGUUUCACAGUUUAAUUGGAAUGCAAAUCGUGGAAAAAAUAAAUAAUUUAUAAAAUUCAUAGACUUUUUUUUCUUCUUGAAGUUGACAAACACGAUCAGUUUUUAUCAAUUGUGUUAACAUAAUAAGGUACGAUCCCGUUUUCAUAACAAUUGAAGUGUCAGUAGCACUACGAAUCUCAAUAUCUUCAUCCUCGUCUCCAAGGAAAAAGAAGAAACACAAAAAACAAUAACAACAACAAUUUUGAUCUAAUAUUGUUUAAGAGGUCAUCUGCCAAAGUUUGAACACCUCAUUUCAUGAUGAUUACAUUACAUAUAUCAUCUGUAGAUGAAAACUGCUUAAUUGUACAUUCCUCUUCUCAUUAAUUCAUUCAUCUGUGUGCAACUAGACAUGAAAAUAAAAAAGUGAAAUACCGUCGUUUUCAUUCAUCCACUUGCUUAUUUGUGUGUUGUAUGGCUAAACGAGAGCGUUUGAUGGAUUCUUCGCGCUCGAGUUUGAGUUGCUUCUUGAAAUUCUUGAUGAACUUGUCUGCUUGUGUAUUCACAUCCUCUGCAAUCAAGUGCCUGUGUCUGUGUGUCGUGGUUUUUAUGUAGAUAUCAUCUUCUCGGCGUUGAUCCAUUUGUUUAGUGAUGAUGCUUGACUGCGCAACUGCGUGUAUUUAUAGUCAACUUCUUUUCUGGAGCACACGUUUUUCGCGUGCGCGAAAGCAGGAGGAACAAGCUAAGAAACAAGGAACAAUCUAAAGGUUUAAUGGAAGGUGAUUAGGAAAUGGUAGUUGUGUGUGAAUAUAAG